UCUAUGAAAUCGGGUAAAACGUAAUUUUGAUAGUAUAUAUUUUUGAGGCAACAGUACACUCUAGAUAAUGAUUAUUACGAAGAAAACAACUUGUUAAGUCGAAAAUGGCAGAAAAUGGUAGAGAUAUAGCAUUAUGUAGAAUUUACCUCUAAUAGUAUUGUCAAAUCUUCGACCUAACUCUGUUAACCUUAAAAAGAGCUACAGCGGCGACAAAAACUCAAAUCAGAAAACUUCUGGACUCCAGAAUCAUUAGACACUACAGCAGUAUGUACGCUAGUUCUAUUCAUAUGAUACAAAAGAAAGACAACAACUGGAGAAUGUGCGGAGACUACCGUAAACUCAAUGAUGCUACUUAUCCAUGACAGUCCGCCGCUCAUCCAAGAUUUCUUUCCACGUCUACACAACAAAAAAGGAUACAGCAAAAUCGACUGCGAAAAAGCAUACCUAGAACUAUUUAUUCACGUGGAGGACAUUGAAAAAACUGCCGUUAUAACUCCAUGGAGUUAUUACGAAUACCUAAGUAUGCCCUUUGGUGUAAAAAACACCACCCAAUCAUACCAAUGAUUUAUGGAUGUACUCUUUAGAGACCUGGACUUCGUGUAUGUCUACGUAGAUGAUAUUCUGGUAUUCUCGGACGACGAAGAUCAACACCUGAAAUACGUAUGCAUCAUACUCGAAUUAAAACACAACAACCUUAUUAUCAAUCUCAAAAAACGUCUGUUCAACCAAAAGGAGAUCAAUUUCCUGAAUUACACAAUUAAUAAACAUAAUUACAUUCCAAUGUGCGAACGAGUUGAUGCCAUUAAAAGAUAUCAAAAACCUGA